UGCAAUCUGAUAUGAAUGUUCUUUAGUGUUCUGAUUAAUCUGUGAUUAAUACACUAAAAUAACCAUCUUUUGGCUGAGAUUGCA